rnacentral:rRNA from 1 species
AUACGGAGGGUGCAAGCGUUACUCGGAACCACUGGGCGUAAAGGACGCGUAGGCGGCUUCAUAAGUCAGGUGUGAAAGCCCACGGCUCAACCGUGGAACUGCACUUGAAACUGUGAUGCUAGAGUCUGGGAGAGGUAGAUGGAAUUGGUGGUGUAGGGGUAAAAUCCGUAGAGAUCACCAGGAAUACCGAUGGCGAAGGCGAUCUGCUGGAACAGUACUGACGCUGAGGCGUGAAAGCGUGGGGAGCAAACAGGAUUAGAAACCCUAGUAGUCC